AGAAAUGAAUAGCUACAACUCUUGUUAUGCUUGCUUUUUGAUUUCUCUCUCCGCUAAGCGGAGCGGAAUCUUUAAAUAGCACAGUAUUAGAUAUAUACAUAUAUAUAUGUAUAUAUAGAGAGAGAGAUGAAAACAGCACAGAGCCCGGACGCUAUUACGUUGUUGUUAACGAGGCUAAAACUUUUUACCUCGGGAAAAUUCCAUUUUCUAGAAAGCCAAUGUAAAUGUUCUCUAUGGCUUCAUUGUCAACCAAUCUAAAUAUAGAUUGUUAAUUUUAACCCCGCCGGCCGCUCACGAGAAUUCUUCGUGUGGCCAGUAGUCUCGUGAGUCAUUGCUAAUUUUUUCACUCUUGCUCGUUGUUGAUAAAGUCAUAUAUGUAUUGUGAUAAGUUGAUGUCAUUCAUGAAUAUAUUCUAUCAGAUCAGCCGUCGUCAAAAUAUCCUCAUCACAGAAAAAUCUUGAAUAAGAAAAAUAUUUUUAAACGCUCAAAUAUACGGAAACAUUUUCAAAUGACACUUGGUUUAUUUACCUUGUUCACGAGUUGUUGCAUUCGAAUAAAAAGUGUUCUUAUUAUUUUUUUUUUCUUAUUCAUCUUGGAACUGUUUUUCUUUUUUUCUUAAUGGUCAUAUUGAAUUAUAUUGUUCUUGUAUAAAAGUAGCUAUAGUCAAAAAAGUGAUUUGUGAUGUAAAAUUAUAGCUUAGUUACCACAAUAAUUGAAAUUUGAUUUUUGUAUAAAAAUCCAUUUAUUGAUAUUGUUUUCCCA